rnacentral:rRNA from 1 species
UUAAGUUAUUAAGGGCGCACGGUGGAUGCCUUGGCACUAGAAGCCGAUGAAGGACGUUACUAACGACGAUAUGCUUUGGGGAGCUGUAAGUAAGCUUUGAUCCAGAGAUUUCCGAAUGGGGAAACCCAACAUGAGUUAUGUCAUGUUAUCGAUAUGUGAAUACAUAGCAUAUCAGAAGGCACACCCGGAGAACUGAAACAUCUUAGUACCCGGAGGAAGAGAAAGAAAAUUCGAUUCCCUUAGUAGCGGCGAGCGAAACGGGAAGAGCCCAAACCAACAAGCUUGCUUGUUGGGGUUGUAGGACACUCUAUACGGAGUUACAAAGGACGACAUUAGACGAAUCAUCUGGAAAGAUGAAUCAAAGAAGGUAAUAAUCCUGUAGUCGAAAAUGUUGUCUCUCUUGAGUGGAUCCUGAGUACGACGGAGCACGUGAAAUUCCGUCGGAAUCUGGGAGGACCAUCUCCUAAGGCUAAAUACUCUCUAGUGACCGAUAGUGAACCAGUACCGUGAGGGAAAGGUGAAAAGCACCCCGGAAGGGGAGUGAAAUAGAACCUGAAACCGUGUGCUUACAAGUAGUCAGAGCCCGUUAAUGGGUGAUGGCGUGCCUUUUGUAGAAUGAACCGGUGAGUUACGAUUUGAUGCAAGGUUAAGCAGUAAAUGUGGAGCCGUAGCGAAAGCGAGUCUGAAUAGGGCGUUUAGUAUUUGGUCGUAGACCCGAAACCAGGUGAUCUACCCUUGGUCAGGUUGAAGUUCAGGUAACACUGAAUGGAGGACCGAACCGACUUACGUUGAAAAGUGAGCGGAUGAACUGAGGGUAGCGGAGAAAUUCCAAUCGAACCUGGAGAUAGCUGGUUCUCUCCGAAAUAGCUUUAGGGCUAGCCUCAAGUGAUGAUUAUUGGAGGUAGAGCACUGUUUGGACGAGGGGCCCCUCUCGGGUUACCGAAUUCAGACAAACUCCGAAUGCCAAUUAAUUUAACUUGGGAGUCAGAACAUGGGUGAUAAGGUCCGUGUUCGAAAGGGAAACAGCCCAGACCACCAGCUAAGGUCCCAAAAUAUAUGUUAAGUGGAAAAGGAUGUGGCGUUGCCCAGACAACUAGGAUGUUGGCUUAGAAGCAGCCAUCAUUUAAAGAGUGCGUAAUAGCUCACUAGUCGAGUGACACUGCGCCGAAAAUGUACCGGGGCUAAACAUAUUACCGAAGCUGUGGAUUGUCCUUUGGACAAUGGUAGGAGAGCGUUCUAAGGGCGUUGAAGCAUGAUCGUAAGGACAUGUGGAGCGCUUAGAAGUGAGAAUGCCGGUGUGAGUAGCGAAAGACGGGUGAGAAUCCCGUCCACCGAUUGACUAAGGUUUCCAGAGGAAGGCUCGUCCGCUCUGGGUUAGUCGGGUCCUAAGCUGAGGCCGACAGGCGUAGGCGAUGGAUAACAGGUUGAUAUUCCUGUACCACCUAUAAUCGUUUUAAUCGAUGGGGGGACGCAGUAGGAUAGGCGAAGCGUGCGAUUGGAUUGCACGUCUAAGCAGUAAGGCUGAGUAUUAGGCAAAUCCGGUACUCGUUAAGGCUGAGCUGUGAUGGGGAGAAGACAUUGUGUCUUCGAGUCGUUGAUUUCACACUGCCGAGAAAAGCCUCUAGAUAGAAAAUAGGUGCCCGUACCGCAAACCGACACAGGUAGUCAAGAUGAGAAUUCUAAGGUGAGCGAGCGAACUCUCGUUAAGGAACUCGGCAAAAUGACCCCGUAACUUCGGGAGAAGGGGUGCUCUUUAGGGUUAACGCCCAGAAGAGCCGCAGUGAAUAGGCCCAAGCGACUGUUUAUCAAAAACACAGGUCUCUGCUAAACCGUAAGGUGAUGUAUAGGGGCUGACGCCUGCCCGGUGCUGGAAGGUUAAGAGGAGUGGUUAGCUUCUGCGAAGCUACGAAUCGAAGCCCCAGUAAACGGCGGCCGUAACUAUAACGGUCCUAAGGUAGCGAAAUUCCUUGUCGGGUAAGUUCCGACCCGCACGAAAGGCGUAACGAUUUGGGCACUGUCUCAACGAGAGACUCGGUGAAAUCAUAGUACCUGUGAAGAUGCAGGUUACCCGCGACAGGACGGAAAGACCCCGUGGAGCUUUACUGUAGCCUGAUAUUGAAAUUCGGCACAGCUUGUACAGGAUAGGUAGGAGCCUUUGAAACGUGAGCGCUAGCUUACGUGGAGGCGCUGGUGGGAUACUACCCUAGCUGUGUUGGCUUUCUAACCCGCACCACUUAUCGUGGUGGGAGACAGUGUCAGGCGGGCAGUUUGACUGGGGCGGUCGCCUCCUAAAAGGUAACGGAGGCGCUCAAAGGUUCCCUCAGAAUGGUUGGAAAUCAUUCAUAGAGUGUAAAGGCAUAAGGGAGCUUGACUGCGAGACCUACAAGUCGAGCAGGGUCGAAAGACGGACUUAGUGAUCCGGUGGUUCCGCAUGGAAGGGCCAUCGCUCAACGGAUAAAAGCUACCCCGGGGAUAACAGGCUUAUCUCCCCCAAGAGUUCACAUCGACGGGGAGGUUUGGCACCUCGAUGUCGGCUCAUCGCAUCCUGGGGCUGUAGUCGGUCCCAAGGGUUGGGCUGUUCGCCCAUUAAAGCGGUACGCGAGCUGGGUUCAGAACGUCGUGAGACAGUUCGGUCCCUAUCCGUCGUGGGCGUAGGAAAUUUGAGAGGAGCUGUCCUUAGUACGAGAGGACCGGGAUGGACAUACCUCUGGUGUACCAGUUGUCGUGCCAACGGCAUAGCUGGGUAGCUAUGUGUGGACGGGAUAAGUGCUGAAAGCAUCUAAGCAUGAAGCCCCCCUCAAGAUGAGAUUUCCCAACUUCGGUUAUAAGAUCCCUCAAAGAUGAUGAGGUUAAUAGGUUCGAGGUGGAAGCAUGGUGACAUGUGGAGCUGACGAAUACUAAUCGAUCGAAGACUUAAUCAA